UACGGGGGGAGCAAGCGUUGUUCGGAUUUACUGGGCGUAAAGGGCGCGUAGGCGGCCACCGCAAGUCAGUUGUGAAAUCUCUGGGCUUAACCCAGAACGGUCAGCUGAUACUGCGGGGCUAGAGUGCAGAAGGGGCAACUGGAAUUCUCGGUGUAGCGGUGAAAUGCGUACAUAUCGAGAGGAACACCUGCGGCGAAGGCGGGUUGCUGGGCUGACACUGACGCUGACAGCGCGAAAGCUGGGGGAGCGAACGGG
rnacentral:rRNA from 1 species